rnacentral:rRNA from 1 species
UACGUAGGGGGCAAGCGUUAUCCGGAUUUACUGGGUGUAAAGGGAGCGUAGACGGCGAUGCAAGCCAGAUGUGAAAGCCCGGGGCUCAACCCCGGGACUGCAUUUGGAACUGUAUAGCUAGAGUGUCGGAGAGGCAGGCGGAAUUCCUAGUGUAGCGGUGAAAUGCGUAGAUAUUAGGAGGAACACCAGUGGCGAAGGCGGCCUGCUGGACGAUGACUGACGUUGAGGCUCGACAGCGUGGGGAGCAAACAGG